UGUAUAUUAAAAUUAAAUAAUAUUCGAAAUAAAAAACACGUAACUCGUUGUGUAUUGUGUGUAAUAUUAUUAUUUUAUAGUACAAACACACAGUGGACGCGUGUAUGUGGAGAUCAUCAAACCAUAAUAAUUAUGAUUUAUUAUUUAAUAGUAGUAAAGCAUGAACUUUUAACAUUCUUAUCUAAUAUUAAAUAAUAAUCAAUGAAACAACCAUUUAUUAAACGAAAAAAAAUUCUUCAGGUAAACUUCUGCACGUUUUCAAAAAAUAAACGACUUAAGCAUACAAAAGAAAAACCAAGGAUUUGCGUUCAGUGUACACCACUAUUACAUUGUUCAUCCGAAAAUGGCAAUUUUUCUUUUAAUCCAAUACACAACAAUUCACGUGUAUCAGCAGUUCUUCAGGUCUCACAUAUGCUGGACGGUUUAUUUUUCGAAACUAAAGGCCUAGCCCAUUCAACAAACUCAUCAAUCAAGACUGGCCAAGCUCCUUCCUGAUCAUAGUCUAGCAUUUCAUCAUCAAUAACACAAGAAAAUUCUAAUAAAAGAUUCCAUGUAUCCCGAGGUAUUGAUUUAUUGUGAUGUUCCUGUAAAAUUAAUAAAAUAAAAAGAAUUAAUGUUUGUAAAGGUGAACA